AUUUUUUACAACAAUUUUUUCCCAUGGCGUAAAAAGAUGAAUAUUCCAAAGUGGAAAGAAAGGCCUUAAAGCUCCUCUCUCCACAUCCAGCCACCAUUGACAUUUGAGGAAAAGAAUGUCUCCAUGUGAUGAAUGGGUGCAGAGAGAAAAUAGGAGAUGGGUAGAUGGCAG